ensembl:snoRNA
CUUUUCAACUAAUGAUGUUUCUCUUCAAAAUGUUUGAACCUCUCUGAAGCAUCCCAGUAACGCAACCACUGUAUUUGAAAAAAGA